CAAUGAACCAGCCUAUUUAAAGCUGUGAUGUUGCACUGGUUCAUCAGUGCUUGCCGCCCUGCUGCUAGUCUGCAAACUAGUCUGCUAACUAGUUUGCUAAGAGUAUUAGCUGAUAUCAAGCUACGCUGCCAGGAGUCUUAUCAGCUUCAACCACUUCAAACUGGAAGUCACGUUAGCCUGGCAACACUUCCCAAGGCUGUUCUCCAAAAUGCUAGACUGGUUGCUUCACCUCAAAACUUCUGACGAAGGAGCUGUACAACUGACAGAUCUGUGACAGUUUUCAUAUUUUCACAGCAGAGGAUGUCCCGCAGGUGGCGUCCUCUGUUCCCAUGGGACUGCAGCUCAUUGCACAGCAGGUCACACGGGGUGACACGAUGCAGGCCGAAC